UUUCCGUAGGUGAACCUGCGGAAGGAUCAUUAUCGUAGGGCUUCGGCCCUGUCGAGAUAGAACCCUUGCCUUUUUGAGUACCUUUCGUUUCCUCGGCAGGCUCGCCUGCCAAUGGGGACCACAAAAAACACUUUGCAGUACCUGUAACAGUCUGAACAAACAAAACAAAAAUUAAAACUUUCAACAACGGAUCUCUUGGUUCUGGCAUCGAUGAAGAACGCAGCGAAAUGCGAUAAGUAGUGUGAAUUGCAGAAUUCAGUGAAUCAUCGAAUCUUUGAACGCACAUUGCGCCCUUUGGUAUUCCUUAGGGCAUGCCUGUUCGAGCGUCAUUUAAACCUUCAAGCUAAGCUUGGUGUUGGGUGACUGUCCGCUUCACUGCGGACUCGCCUCAAAAUUAUUGGCGGCCGGUACAUUGGCUUCGAGCGCAGCAGAAACGCGAACUCGGGCCCGUCGUAUUGGCUCCCAGAAGCUAUCUUCACAAUUUUGACCUCGGAUCAGGUAGGGAUACCCGCUGAACUUAAGCAUAUCAAUA
rnacentral:rRNA from 1 species